CCACAUUUUCCUCCAUAACAUCCAUCCAUUGGCCGACAUACUCCGGGAGCUGUGGUUCUGCUUCUUGUCUGCCUCUUCUGCCCCUUUGUUCAGGUCGAGCUGCAUGAACACCUGAGGGACCAGCAUCUGGUAAGUCUGAGUCGCCCUCGCCUAGGGGUCCACUCGCUGGCUGGAGCUUGUGGUAAGGGAAGAUAGGCUGUGGUGACCUGGUGAGCCG
rnacentral:lncRNA from 1 species